UAAUUACAUUCCAUUUUUCUGUAAGCAUAUGGUUCUCUUAAAGGAUUUUAGUUAUUCAAGCUUAUCCUUGAAUUUUGUAUCUUACUGCAGUCAAGUAUGUGAUUAUGGGAACUAGACUUGGAAGACAUAUAUAGGUCAUUGAAAACAAAGACCCUGCACAUACAGAUGAUCUAGAAAGGGGAAAAAAAAAGACAUGACUUUCAAAACAAA
rnacentral:misc_RNA from 1 species